rnacentral:rRNA from 1 species
UAGGGAAUCUUCGGCAAUGGGGGCAACCCUGACCGAGCAACGCCGCGUGAGUGAAGAAGGUUUUCGGAUCGUAAAGCUCUGUUGUAAGUCAAGAACGGGUGUGAGAGUGGAAAGUUCACACUGUGACGGUAGCUUACCAGAAAGGGACGGCUAACUACGUGCCAGCAGCCGCGGUAAUACGUAGGUCCCGAGCGUUGUCCGGAUUUAUUGGGCGUAAAGCGAGCGCAGGCGGUUUGAUAAGUCUGAAGUUAAAGGCUGUGGCUCAACCAUAGUUCGCUUUGGAAACUGUCAAACUUGAGUGCAGAAGGGGAGAGUGGAAUUCCAUGUGUAGCGGUGAAAUGCGUAGAUAUAUGGAGGAACACCGGUGGCGAAAGCGGCUCUCUGGUCUGUAACUGACGCUGAGGCUCGAAAGCGUGGGGAGCGAACAGGAUUAGAUACCCUGGUAGUCCACGCCGUAAACGAUGAGUGCUAGGUGUUGGAUCCUUUCCGGGAUUCAGUGCCGAAGCUAACGCAUUAAGCACUCCGCCUGGGGAGUACGACCGCAAGGUUGAAACUCUAAAUGAAUUGAC